UGGGGAAUAUUAGUAAUGGGCGAAAGCCUGAACUAGCAACGCCGCGUGUGCGAAGAAGGCCUUCGGGUUGUAAAGCACUUUUUGAGAGGAUGAGGAAGGACGGUACUCUCAGAAUAAGUCUCGGCUAACUACGUGCCAGCAGCCGCGGUAACACGUAGGAGGCGAACGUUAUCCGGAUUUACUGGGCGUAAAGCGCGUGUAGGUGGUUUGGUAAGUAGGGCGUGAAAGCUCCUGGCUCAACUGGGAGAGGCCGUUCUAAACUGCCGAACUAGAGGAUGGUAGAGGGAGGUGGAAUUCCGGGUGUAGCGGUGGAAUGCGCAGAUAUCCGGAGGAACACCAGUGGCGUAAGCGGCCUCCUGAACCAUUCCUGACACUCAGACGCGAAGGCUAGGGUAGCAAACGG
rnacentral:rRNA from 1 species